CUUCAGCAGUGAAUUCUGAAAGCUGAUUAUGCACCACAUAAAAAGUCUUUUUAUCCAUUUUCAAUCUGCUGCCUUUUGAAUUCCAUCCAGUUUCUGCUUUUUCUCAAAUUAAGGUGAAUGGGAGUAUGGUAUAUAAUUAGGCUGUGUUAUACUAUUCAUUACUACAUUCACCUUAAUCUUAUUAUCUCCAUAGACAUAGUAGGUCAAUUCCAGCAACAUUUGAACAGAAGAUGUGGUUAAUUUUAAAUGAACUGAAUAAAACUAAUAAUACAUUUGAUUGAGAUAAACUACAAAUUGAAAGAAAUUGUCAUGGGGCUAUAUUCUGUUAUUAACAUUGGCAGGCGGGAAGUAAGUAUUUUACAGGCACAGUACAGGAUGUCUCUCUGUAUCUGUGCAAAGCUGUGAAGAUGUGGGGAAAGAUCUAUAGAGACUCUAUUCACUUUGCAUUAGUCAUAGGUGAAUAAUUGUCAGUUUUAAAUUGUGUGAUUGUGAGCCUUCCAAAGGAUGAACCUGUAGCAGACAUUUGUAAUAGAUCAUGAGCACAUAGUUAGCAAGUUCUGAUACUUGCCAUUUCUAAAAUAGAAUAUUAUCAAGGAAAUAAAUGGAGAUAUAUUAGAGAAUUGUAGUCUGAAAAAUACAGUAAGUGUCUAUACACUCCCAUAAUGGAAAUAGAACAUCGAUUAUUCUUCUGCUGAAAAAUAAAGGGAAUGUUUUGUAGGUAAUAAGCACUGUAUUUACCACAGACAUUAAAUACAUAUAAUAUAGGCUUUAAAAUAACUCUUCUUCUUUCAUCUGCAGUAACACUUUAGAUCAUAUGCAGAAUAAGCUACAUUUCAGAUCUGUAGAGUCCCAGUGCCCUGAUUUCUGCACUGGUUUUGCUCCUUUAUCCAACAAUUUUCAGCGACCCUUAAGCUCAUUCUUUGUCUGUCUCCCUCUGUCUGUCUCCCUUUUUUUUUUUCUUUCUCCCCUUUCUUCUCUGGUGUUGGCUACACAAGAGAUUACUGAAAUCCAUGCCUCCUCUUUACCUUUAUCUUGUUGGGCUUGCUGAUUUACUUGCUUUACUAUAUGGACUCUGAACUGGCCAGAUCCUGAGACCAGUUUCUGUCCUAACCCAUAGCACAUAGGCGGUGUCCUGUUGAGGAAACUCACUGUCAACAUCUCCUUGCCCCUCAGUAAUGUGAUUUUUAUUCUUUUCUUGUUCCUGACUUCCCACUUGAAUAUUUGCCCACCUAUCCUGUUUUAUCCAUUUGAUUUUCCUUUGCUUCCAUACCUCUGGUCAGUGACUGCCAGUUUUCUGAUUUCUCUAAAUCAUGAAUGUCCUGACUCUUAUAUUACUAGCAGUACGUGCCUAGAUUUUUGAUUCUCUGUCUAGUUUCUGCACACUAUUGUACCUAGAAUCCAGUCUCCCACCUAUACCUCAUCACUUCAACUGCAAAUCACAGUUGGACACAGUCUUGGUUUUUCUAGGAACUAUGUUUAUUUUUUACAUAUUUUUUCAUGAAAUAUUUGCAAAUACCCCAAAAGUAGAAAGAUCAGAACUAAAUUAAGGAAAACAAUAAUUCCACAAUCCAGAGACAAGCAGUAUGGGCAUUUUGGCAUUUUUCUUUCCAGUUUUUUAAAAAAUAAUUCAGAUAAUGUUAAUGAGAAUUUUUAAAAAUUCAACUUAACGGCUAUAAACAUUAUCACAUAUCAUUAAAAAAUGUAGACACACAAAGAUUUUUUUAAUGGUAUGUUAGUUUCACUUUGUAUAUAUCCCAUAGUCACCUAAUU
rnacentral:lncRNA from 1 species